rnacentral:misc_RNA from 1 species
UGGGCAUCACCUCUUGCUUGUYUAGAUCAGCCCGGACGUUGGCAUGUGUAGCGUAUUUUGUCGGGUUUCGAGAUCAAGAAUCGAUGUCCCUUUGUUGGUUGGUUUUCCGAGAAUCCUUGACCCUCGAUUUGUUACUUUCGCAUCGUUUGGUGCAUGUUUUCCGAGAAUCCUUGACCCUUGAUUUGUUGCUUUCGCAUCGUUUGGUGCAUGUUUUCCGAGAAUCCUUGACCCUUGAUUUGUUACUUUCGCAUCGUUCGGUGCAUUCUGGGGGAUGUUUUGGCUUUUGGUGGCUUACUUGGCCUUUUGGCUGGGUUUGUUGCUAUUGGUCGGGCGGCUUUCGGGAAUGUCGACCGUGGAGGUGCAUGAGUGGUGUUUGGUUUGUUACGUGUGGAUGGCUGUUUGCUUGCGCAACAACGUUCACGCUGCAUACCUCUUCAGUUUUGCGGCAAGGCUUGGUUUGGCUUGUGCAUAUUGUGGGUUUCCUGUGUUGCAUACCUAGUUGAAAGAAAAGUGUGGGUUUUACGAUUUUCAUUUUCGUCUUGCGUCGUUCUUUCGGCAUGGGAUGAGCAAUGAAGCGAUCUUUAUGAUCCAUCGUGCUGUUGUGUUUGCAACAAUGAUGUGGCCUAUGAAGCAUCGUUUGGUCUCUUGUAUACGGAAGCUCAUUUGGGCUUGGGUCUUUAUAAGAUCUUUGUUAUGCCCUUGUUAAGCGUUCUCGCUUCUCCUAAACGAUUG